GGGGGGAUGUCAGAUCCUGGGAUGUGUCCCCGGCACCCUGUGCUCCCGGGCCUGUGCUGUUGGAUUCGCUCCCAGCCGCGCAGCCACCU
rnacentral:pre_miRNA from 1 species